CUGGGUGUAGCGCAGUUUGGUAGCGCACAAGACUGGGGGUCUUGGGGUCGCAGGUUCAAGUCCUGUCACCCAGACCA
rnacentral:tRNA from 1 species